rnacentral:lncRNA from 1 species
AAACUUUUUUAUACUGGAUAUAAAAAUCUAGACUAAGGAAGGACUAUACAUGGAAAGAGCAAUAAGAAAACUUUCUGCAAGCCAAGAUUGAAGCAUUAUCCAGUGUGGGGUCAACUUUGGGUCAUGAACAAAAUAAUUUUCUCAACUUCAAGGCACAAACAAUGGGCAGUGGUGAAUCUCCCAAGUUAGGUACAACCAUAUACGGACUAUUCUCAGUGUCCUGCUGACCUUCUCAGGGAACACUCAUUCUUCUCAUUGAGCAUUUAUUCUAAAUUACUUAUGGUAUAUUUAGAUUAGGUAGAAUUUUCUUUGCUAGCUUGAGCACAUACAUAUUACCUAAAAGACCAUUUGUAAGGUAAUACAUAUUCACAAUUCAACAUAGAAAAUUUUAAAAUUGUUAUAGUGCAACCUUUUGUAACUCCUGAAAUCUGAGUAUAAAGAGAAUUUCUUACAGCUUCUUAGGCAGAAAGAAAAACUUACUAACAAAGGAAAUCGCAUUAAACUUUCAUGUUCUCUUCUCAAACAUUAGAAGCUAAAUAAGAAUAGAGUAGCAUCUAUCAACCAAUGAGAGAAAGGGUCAGAAAUGUAAAACCCUGUAACAGUCAAAGUAAAAUUCACCUGCCAUUGUAAAAUAAACUCACUGGAGUGCAUGCAAGAACUCAGACCAUAUUUCAUUCAUCCCUCUUGUCUAUGGAUAAUGCUUGGAGAAAGAUCCUGACCUGAUACAAAUAAAUUCUUCCUAAAACUACAAGUGGAGAAAAAUAUUAUAAAUAGUAAAA